GGAAGUACAGAAUUUGUUUUGCACGCAUAGAAGCAGCUACAAACAACGCUACGGUGCAGGUCUUUCAAUGUAGUUAUUUCUUGUCACGCUUCAGCCUUGGAAAAAUAUUUGUUUUUUCACAACAAACGUUUUCAAUAUAUUCAUUCAAGAAAAGUCACGCCUUGGGAGUUUUAUUGAAGACUUAGUUGUUAGCUAUCUGUCUAGUUUUGCAUGGGAACGCAACUCAAGGGCAGAAUAAGUACUGUUCCCUCCAAGCUCGACACCAAGCUCAGAGCCCUGGCUCUGGACACCACCCUCUGCAACUGGAUCUGGACUUCCUAACAGGCAGACCACAGUAUGUUAGGACUGGCAACAACACCACCUCCACACUGACUCAACACGGGGGAGGCCCCCCCCAGAGGUGUCUUCAGUCCUCUGCUGUACUCCCAGUUCACUAAUGACUGUGUGGCUUUGCACGACAUCAAUUCCAUCAUCAACUUUGCUAACGACAUUCUGGUUGUUUGCCUGAAUCCGCCUAUAGGGAGGAGGUAAAUGAACUGCCAUUGUCAUAACCUCUCCUUCAACAUCAGGAAAACAAAGGAGUUGAAUGUUGACUUCAGGUAGCACAGGGAACAUGCCCCGAUCCCCAUCAAUGGGAUUGUAGUAGAGAGAGUCACGAGUUUUAAGUUCCUCGGCAUUCACUUUACCGAGGACUUGUCAUGGACCAACAACACCACCACCACUCUUGUCAAGAGGGCACCACAGCAUCUCUACUUCCUAAGGCGGCUGAAGAAAUCUGGCAUGCCGCCCCGGGUCCUCUCCAAAUAGUACCGCUGCACCAUCGAGAGCGUCCUGAUCGGUUGCAUCACAGCCUGGUACGGGUAUUGCUCCGUCCACGACAGCAAGAUCCUCCAGCGGUUGGUGAAAAUGGCCCAGAACAUCACCACUCAUCCAGGACCUAUACUUGAAACGGUAUUUGCGGAAGGCACACAGCAUUAUCAAGGACACCACACCCCAGCCACGAGCUAUUCUCUCCCUUACCACCAGGCAUACAGUAUUGGAGCAUGAGGUCUGAUACCAACAGCCUCAGAGACAGUUUCUAUCUACAUGCCAUCAGACUGCUGAACACUUGAACUGGACUGAUCACGUGCUCUGAUUUCCCGCACCUUAUCACACAUCAAUGCUAACAUCACACACAUCAUUUCCCCCCUCGAUCUACACACAAGACCCCAAACAAGCAAAAACAGGUUUUGAAAUUUGUUAAUUUAUAACAAAUAAAACUGAUUGCAUUUACUUAAGUAUUCAGACCUUUAACUCAGUACUUUGUUGAAGCACCUUCGGCAGCAUUACAGCCUCGAGUCUUCUUGGGUAUGAUGCUACAAGCUUGGGAUGCCUGUAUUUGGGGAGUUUCUCAAAUUAUUCUCUGCAGAUCCUCUCAAGCUCUGUCAGGUUGGAUGGGGAGCAUUGCUGCACAGAUAUUUUCAGUUCUCUCCAGCGACGUUAGAUCGGGUUCAAGUCCGGCCUCUGGCUGGGCCACUCAAGAACAUUCAGAGACGUGUCCCAAAGCCACUCCUGCGUUGUCUUGGCGUUGUGCUUAGGGUCAUUGUCCUUUUGGAAGGUGAACCUUCACCUCAGUCUGAGCGCUCUGGAACAGUUUUUCAUCAAGGACUUCUCUGUGUACUUUACUCUGUUCAUCUUUCCCUCGAUUGUGACUAGUCUCCCAGUCCCUGCCGUUGGAAAAACAUCCCCACAGCAUGCCACCAUCAUGCUUCACCGUAGGGAUGGUGCCAGGUUUCCUCCAGACGUGACACUUGGUAUUCAGGCCAAAGAGUUCAAUCUUGGUUUAAUCAAACCAGAUUAUCUUGUUUCUCAUGGUCUGAGAGUGUUUAGGUGCCUUUUGGCUAACUCAAGCGGGCUGUCUUGCCUUUUACUGAGUUCUGGCAACUCUACCAUAAAGGCCUGAUUGGUGGAAUGCUGCAGAGAUGGUUGUCCUUCUGGAAGGUUCUCCCAUCUCCACAGAGGAACUCUGCAGCUCUAUCAAAGUGACCAUCGGAUUCUUGGUCACUUCCCUCACCAAGGCAUUCUCCCCCGAUUGCUCAGUUUGGCUGGGCGGACAGCUCUAGGAAGUCUUGGUGGUUCCAAAUAUCUUCCAUUUUUAAGAUUGAUGUAGGCCACUGUGUUCUUGGGAACCUUCAAUGCGGCAGAAUGUUGUUUUUUUGGUACCCUUCCCCAGAUCUGUGCCUCGACGCAAUCCUGUCUCGGAGCUCUAUGGACAAUUCCUUUUGACCUCAUGGCUUGGUUUUUGCUCUGACAUGCACUGUCAACUGUGGGACCUUUAUAUAGACAGGUGUUAGCCUUUACAAAUCAUGUCCAAUCAAUUUACCAUAGGUGGAAUCCAAGGAAGAUCAAUGGAAAACAGGAUGCACGUGAGGUCAAUUUCGAGUCUCAUUGCAAAGGGGCUGAAUAUUUAUGUAAAGAAGGUAUUUCUUUCUUCAUAAAUUUGCACAAAAAAAAUCAAACCUGUUCGCUUUGUCAUUAGGGGUAUUUGUGUGUAGAUUGCUAAAAAAAAGGCUGUAACAUAACAAAAUGUGGAAAAGGUCAAGGGGCCUGAAUACUUUCCCACAGCACUGUACAUGCAAAAAAAUGUUUUGUUAUUCUACUGCCAUUGUGUUUAAAAAACAACAACUAUUUCUUAAUGUUGCCUUCUUGCGAAGGAACCUGCAAGUAAGCAUUUCGUUGGACGAUGAUGUUGGCCAGGUCGCAGUUGUAAAUGAAAACUUGUUCUCAACUAGCCUACCUGGUUAAAUAAAGGUGAAAUAAAAUAAAUAAAAAUACCAUGUGUAUCUCAUACAAGGAGGCUAAACAGUGUUUGUUGACAUUUACUUUCUUUACAAACAUUGGAGUAAAAGAAGGUUAGAUCUUGUGCACUGGUGGGGUGUGUCAGUUGAACUAAGCUCAUGAGGCACUUAUGUCAUAUACUUCAAAAAUCAAUAGAUACAUUUAAUUCAUUUUUGUCUAUAAAUUGAUGUAGCAACUGCUGAUUUGCCUCUUUUUAAAAUGCAAUGGGUUCAUAGCCACGGGAAGUACAGGUGCGCUGAAGGUGCUGCAACACCCCCUGCUAGUGUGAUGGUAAAAUUGAAAGAAUUUGUGCAGCAAUAAACUAUUAAACCAUU